GUAAAUUGUAACUUCAUUAAUUUUCAUCAUUUGUAAUUUUAUUGCAGAAGUGGUGACAGUUCCAGAUCCCCCUGUACUACCUGUGACAGUUCCAGAUCUCCCUGUACUACCUGUGACAGUUCCAGAUCUCCCUGUACUACCUGUGACAGUUCCAGAUCUCCCUGUACUACCUGUGACAGUUCCAGAUCCCCCUGUACCUGGACCCUCUGUAUCAGCCCGCCCACCUGCACGUGUACAAUCAGACCCCUUUGAUAGUGACAGUGACCCAGAUGACCCUGAGCCUUUCCAUGGUUUUGAUGCCUCGCCCUAUACAUCAGAUGUAGAUGUUCCCUCAUCAGUUGAUACAAGUAUCACCUCCCCAGAGCCCAAAUCAGUUGAUACGAGUAGUAUCACUCUCCCAUUCCUUCAG